AGAGUUUGAUCAUGGCUCAGGAUGAACGCUAGCUACAGGCUUAACACAUGCAAGUCGAGGGGCAGCAUGGUCUUAGCUUGCUAAGGCCGAUGGCGACCGGCGCACGGGUGAGUAACGCGUAUCCAACCUGCCUUACACUCUUGGACAGCCUUCUGAAAGGGAGAUUAAUACAAGAUGUUAUCAUGAGUAAGCAUUUUCGCAUGAUUAAGGUUACCGGUGUAAGAUGGGGAUGCGUUCCAUUAGAUAGGUAGGCGGGGUAACGGCCACCUAGUCUUCGAUGGAUAGGGGUUCUGAGAGGAAGGUCCCCCACAUUGGAACUGAGACACGGUCCAAAACUCCUACGGAGGCA
rnacentral:rRNA from 1 species